GAGAGAGAGAGAGAAAGAGAGAGAGAAAGAGAGAGAAAGCUCACCUGAGCUCGUCGCCGGAGCAACCGUGUGCCGUGAUCACGUUCAGCUUGUCACCACCAUCAUCCGCAACCAAAGAUUUGGAGUCCAUUUGAGCAGCUGGAGUUCAUAUAUACCACUUCUCUUCAUUGCUAAGGUGAGACCGACGAGCAGAAGUGAUUAUACCGGACCGGUGCUUUUGGGCUUUUACUACUAUUGGGCUUUUGGGCAUCUAUCUUUUUAUCGCUUUUAUCGUUAUCGGGCCUCUAGGCCUUUGGGCUUUUAUCGUUUAUGUUAUUUCGUAUUUCGGACUCUCGGUUUAUGUCGUACUUUAUGUUUCAGAUUUUAUUUUAUAUUAUGGAA